CGCAGGGUCUAGCCACGAGAGGCGGGGUUAGAGAUCCCCUGUCCAUCUUCUUCAGCGAUGGAGGGGGUGGGGGAGGAAAGGAGGAAUCCCGGCUGCACGGAGGGACCCGCCUCCCUCUGCUGCGCCAUUGGGUAAUUUAAAAGAGAUCCCCGGCGACGUCAGCCGCUUCCCCACGCCCCUCCGCUGCCUAUUGGACCGUCCUGGCGUCCGUCAUCCGGGAGGUGGCUGUCAAUCACACCACGCCUGCCUCUUCUGGAAGGGAGGGGUGGAGUGGUGUAAGUCGCUUCAGCAGUGGACGCGUGUGGAAGCUGAGCAGGAGGGAGUGAUACAGCGAUGGCAAGGGAAGGACAUGGUUAACGACACGUCUUGUGUGGUGGAUUUUUCUAUACAAAACUAACGAAACAAUACCUUCUGUCAGCCAUUUACGGAUUUCUGAGUGCCGUCCGUUUUACUUGUGGAUUAUAAAAAAACCCAAAGCGAUUUUUCAAAAAAUAAAAUUAAAAACCUGAUCGAUGUCGCUUUGAUGUGGUAGCGCGGACUGCAGAUAUCAUGGCGCCUCUUGGCUUUCAGUAAUUUUUGCAUGAAGGAAUAAAUCUCAGCUCCUGGUUGGCGGUUGAAUUACCAUCAUUGCCAAAAACAAAUCAAAUUUUACAGAAUUUGGAAACUACACCUCUUUCUUCCCCUCCGCCCCCCAAUUGUUUUCAUCUAGUUGGCAUACACACAGAAUUUGCCUGAACGUUUUAAAUUUCAAUAGUUGGAAACCUGGCACCUCGAAGAAAUAGAUCAUUGUAAACUUGGCGUUCCAGGUUCAGCAAUCAUGGCUACCCUGACAUUGUCAUAAUACUCAACGUGGAACAUAAGCUGAGAAUGCUCAGCAAGUCUGCAUCAUGUUCUGGAGAAACUGGGUAACUUUUUUUUUCAGGUUUGUGGCCUUUCAUAACUACUUGUAGAAGGAAUAAUUCUUUACCAUCAGGGCCAAAUAACUGUUGACUGGCUCAAUCAUCAUUAAGGAACACUUGGUAAUAUGGCCACUUCAUUUAAUUAUUUCUCUUCAGCUUUCCUGUAAGAUUAUUAAGGUCACACCCCUAAUGAGUGAGUAAGUUACCCCUUCAUAAUAUCCCAUUUUACCAUGUGUACUUCAAGCCUACUGGCUGCAAUUUGACUUCAUGCAUCCUUAAAGGAAAGGAGAAAACUUUGUUGAUACCAGUUUAAAGGAGCUGUAGAUCCAGUCUACCUAGUAGAAUUGGAUGCUCACUGAAGGAAGAUGUGUACAGCGACCCACUUAUUGAGUAGCAAACAAAUUCUCUAGCAAUAUAUUUCCUGGGCUGUAGUAGAUUGAUUUAAACUUGUUUCCAAUGAAUUGGUGUGUAAUUCUCUUGCAAGAAUGAGUACUAAAAAUGUGAUAUUACUUUGCAUGUUGUAAGAAUAGUUUGAGUGCUGUAGGUAUUAGCUACUUUGUCACAAACAUCUUUUAAUUCAUCUGACCUAAUACCACUAACCUCAUGAAAUUCUUUGCACAAAUUUGAUUUAUGUAUUGCUUAUCAAAGACGAACCUUCCUUAAUAGUAAGACAAAGGGAAAAUCAAAUUACAUUCAUGCCCCUCCCUGAUGUUGCAACAUGUUUUGCAAUUUCCUGGGUGUAUCACUUUUAAAUACUAUUGCACUAAGCAAUUCUGCAGCAACUAAAUUAAGAUAGAUAUGCUGUGAGAAUUCAUUCUUUGUCAGUAGUUAACUUUUUCACUUCCAACUGGUUUCAUUUCUUGCUUCAAAAAUGCUCCUCUCCAAGUACUUGAGUUUCUUACAUUUUUUUCACAUAGGUAAAAGCUAGAAGGCAGAAAUAUAAUCAUUUAUAUGGAACCAGCUUUACAUCUAUUAUAAACUGUAAAGAUUAAUUGUUAAAAUGCUUGUCUCCCUUUAUUGUACACCAAGUACCUUCCCUUUUAUCUUACAUUAUGUUGGGAUUUCAGAAAUGCUGGUUGUUGCUUCGACUUCUAUACCUAUGCAUUGAUUUUACCACCGUGUCCAAAACACCAGUUUUCCAAACAGAUUCUCUUAGCGUGAUUACAAUUGUGAGAACUCAGACUGCAAAGAUUGUGCUAAGUGCACAGUGUUACCAGUUUUAUCAGCUUCACACUGUUCAGGCUUAUUGUAGAAUGGCUGGGAGUCUGAACAGUCCCAUGGCAACUAAGCUUUACAGUUACGGGUGAGUCAUAGAAGACUGCCCAAUCAUUAAUAGCUGGCAGAUCCUUCCACUGACACUUUUUCCAUUACAAACAUUUGCUGGAGAAGUAUUAAUUACCUUUACCAACAGCUAGGCAAGAGAGAUCACCAGGUAUAAAAGGCACAGAACACUACAGCUAUUACAGUAAUUGAGUUUAUGCAGUUUCAGAUGCAAGACCAGUUAAAUUGUCAGGUUUGAAUUUUUACCAGUACAUGUCUCCUACCAGUGCUCAAACAAACAUGCAACAAAAAAAUUGGAUUUUUUUUCUAUUACUCUAAUAAAAUUAUUGAUUUGAACAAGCACUGGUUUAGUGAUUCGGUUUAAUUUCUCGUGAAUAGUAUCUUCUUUCUAGCUAGAUGACUGCACACUUUGUUAACCAAGUAUAUGACUGAUCAUCUACUAAUUGACACUACCAGCCAUGCAACUUGGGUUAAUAGUUCACAAUUUUGUUUUCUUGGAAGAAGCUACUUAAGUAUUUUACUCAAAGGUGGGAUUAAAGUUUAGUUAGCGAUAUUGUUGGGAUAUGCCAAGCUAUAAUGCAGGUUUUGAGACUGAUGAGCUAAAAGGUUGACUAAGUUUUCAGAGAAAACUGCAUUAUCCAGAGUAAAUCACAUUACACCUGUUAAAUGAAUACCCAAUUUUAAGUAGUGGAUAGGUUUCUGGAAACUAUGUUAAUUGUAUCAUUUCUUUCUUGACACUUGUUUGUAUCAGUGGUAAUUAAAUAUUAUUCAAUGUAGAACUCAA